rnacentral:rRNA from 1 species
AUGCAGUCGAGCGGAGUUUACUGCAGAUCCCCUUCGGGGGCUAAGCAGUUAAAUUUAGCGGCGGACGGGUGCGUAACGCGUGGGUAGUCUGCCCUUGUCACUGGGAUAACACAUCGAAAGGUGUGCUAAUACUAGAUGAUAUACAGACUCGGCAUCGAGACUGUAUCAAAGUCAUACGGACAAGGAUGAGCCUGCGUCUGAUUAGCUUGUUGGUGGGGUAAAAGCCUACCAAGGCGACGAUCAGUAGCCGACCUGAGAGGGUGAUCGGCCACACUGGAACUGAGACACGGUCCAGACUCCUACGGGAGGCAGCAGUGGGGAAUAUUGCACAAUGGGCGCAAGCCUGAUGCAGCAACGCCGCGUGAGUGAUGAAGGCCUUAGGGUCGUAAAACUCUGUCCUAAGGGAAGAUAAUGACGGUACCUUAGGAGGAAGCCCCGGCUAACUACGUGCCAGCAGCCGCGGUAAUACGUAGGGGGCAAGCGUUAUCCGGAAUUACUGGGCGUAAAAGGGUGCGUAGGUGGCCUGACAAGUCAGGGGUCAAAGGCAACGGCUCAACCGUUGUAAGCCCUUGAAACUGUCGGGCUUGAGUUCAGGAGAGGAAAGCGGAAUUCCAAGUGUAGCGGUGAAAUGCGUAGAUAUUUGGAGGAACACCAGUGGCGAAGGCGGCUUUCUGGACUGAUACUGACACUGAGGCACGAAAGCGUGGGGAGCAAACAGGAUUAGAUACCCUGGUAGUCCACGCCGUAAACGAUGAGUACUAGGUGUUGGCCCUAAGGGUCAGUGCCGCAGUUAACACAUUAAGUACUCCGCCUGGGAAGUACGCU